rnacentral:rRNA from 1 species
UACAGAGGAGCCAAGCGUUGUCCGGAUUGACUGGGCGUAAAGCGCACGCAGGCGGUUGCGCGCGUGGGGUGUGAAAUCUGGCCGCUUAACGGCCAGGCGCCAUCCCAUACGGCGCGACUGGAGUGAUGCAGAGGUCGAUGGAAUUGCCGGUGUAGUGGUGAAAUGCGUAGAGAUCAGGAAGAACACCGGUGGCGAAGGCGCUCUGCUAGGCCGCAACUGACACUGAGGGACGAAAGCUAGGGGAGCGAAUGGG